rnacentral:rRNA from 1 species
GNNNNNGUAUUACGAGCCCUCGCUUAAAAUCCAAAGGACUUGACGGUGUCCCACCCNCCUAGAGGAGCCUGUUCUGUAAUCGAUGACCCCCGCUACACCUCACCAUUUCUCGCUUCCACGCAGCCUGUAUACCUCCGUCGCAAGCUUGCCACAUGAAUGAACCACAGCAAGCUCAAUGGUUCCCCCACCAAUACGUCAGGUCAAGGUGCAGCCUAUGAAAUGGCACACAAUGGGCUACAAUUUCUAAUCUAGAACAAACGAACUACCAUCUGAAACCCUGGUUAUGAAGGUGGAUUUAGCAGUAAGGGGAGAUAAUAGUGCUCCCCUUAAUAGCGGCCCUGGGACGCGUACAAACCGCCCGUCACCCCCUUCGAUAGCUUAUCCAUAAGUCAAUAACAAAAUAUCCGCGUCUUAUAAGGGGCAAGUCGUAACAUGGUAAGCGUACUGGAAGGUGUGCUUGGAC